rnacentral:rRNA from 1 species
UACGUAGGGGGCUAGCGUUGUCCGGAAUCAUUGGGCGUAAAGCGCGUGUAGGCGGCCCGGUAAGUCCGCUGUGAAAGUCGGGGGCUCAACCCUCGGAUGCCGGUGGAUACUGUCGGGCUAGAGUGCGGGAGAGGCGAGUGGAAUUCCAGGUGUAGCGGUGAAAUGACGUGAGAUAUCUGGAGGAACACCGGUGGCGAAGGCGGCAUCCUGGACCAUUACUGACACUGAUAAGCGAAAGCCAGGGGAGCAAACGGG